AUUGAACGCUGGCGGCAUGCCUUACACAUGCAAGUCGAACGGCAGCACGGACUUCGGUCUGGUGGCGAGUGGCGAACGGGUGAGUAAUGUAUCGGAACGUACCUUUCAGUGGGGGAUAACGUAGCGAAAGUUACGCUAAUACCGCAUAUUCUGUGAGCAGGAAAGCAGGGGAUCGCAAGACCUUGCGCUGAUUGAGCGGCCGAUAUCAGAUUAGCUAGUUGGUGGGGUAAAGGCCUACCAAGGCUACGAUCUGUAGCGGGUCUGAGAGGAUGAUCCGCCACACUGGAACUGAGACACGGUCCAGACUCCUACGGGAGGCAGCAGUGGGGAAUUUUGGACAAUGGGGGCAACCCUGAUCCAGCCAUGCUGCGUGAGUGAAGAAGGCCUUCGGGUUGUAAAGCUCUUUCGGCCGGGAAGAAAUCGCAUAGGCUAAUACCCUGUGUGGAUGACGGUACCGGAAUAAGAAGCACCGGCUAACUACGUGCCAGCCGCCGCCGUAA
rnacentral:rRNA from 1 species